UUACGGGAGGCAGCAGUGGGGAAUAUUGGACAAUGGGCGAAAGCCUGAUCCAGCCAUGCCGCGUGUGUGAAGAAGGUCUUCGGAUUGUAAAGCACUUUAAGUUGGGAGGAAGGGCAGUUACCUAAUACGUGAUUGUUUUGACGUUACCGACAGAAUAAGCACCGGCUAACUCUGUGCCAGCAGCCGCGGUAAUACAGAGGGUGCAAGCGUUAAUCGGAAUUACUGGGCGUAAAGCGCGCGUAGGUGGUUAGUUAAGUUGGAUGUGAAAUCCCCGGGCUCAACCUGGGAACUGCAUUCAAAACUGACUGACUAGAGUAUGGUAGAGGGUGGUGGAAUUUCCUGUGUAGCGGUGAAAUGCGUAGAUAUAGGAAGGAACACCAGUGGCGAAGGCGACCACCUGGACUGAUACUGACACUGAGGUGCGAAAGCGUGGGGAGCAAACAGGAUUAGAUACCCCGGUA
rnacentral:rRNA from 1 species